AGAGUUUGAUCAUGGCUCAGAACUAACGCUGGCGGCGUGCCUAACACAUGCAAGUCGUACGAGAAAGUCGGCUUCGGCCGAUGAGUAAAGUGGCGCACGGGUGAGUAAUGCGUGGAUAAUCUGCCCUUGGGUUCGGAAUAACGUACCGAAAGGUGCGCUAAUACCGGAUAAUACUGCACAACUACUGUUGUGUAGUCAAAGAUGGCCUCUGUUUACAAGCUUUUGCUGAAGGAUGAGUCCGCGUACCAUUAGCUAGUUGGUGGGGUAAUGGCCUACCAAGGCGACGAUGGUUAGCUGGUCUGAGAGGAUGAUCAGCCACACUGGAACUGAGACACGGUCCAGACUCCUACGGGAGGCAGCAGUGAGGAAUAUUGCGCAAUGGGGGCAACCCUGACGCAGCAACGCCGCGUGAGUGAGGAAGGUUUUCGGACCGUAAAGCUCUGUCGAGCGGGAAGAAAUGCAUGGUGGCUAAUAUCCAUCAUGCUUGACGGUACCGCUAGAGGAAGCACCGGCUAACUCCGUGCCAGCAGCCGCGGUAAUACGGGGGGUGCAAGCGUUGUUCGGAAUUAUUGGGCGUAAAGAGCGUGUAGGCGGCUGAAUAAGUCAGAUGUGAAAUCCCUGGGCUUAACCCAGGACGUGCAUUUGAAACUAUUCAGCUUGAGUAAGGGAGAGGAAAGUGGAAUUCCUGGUGUAGAGGUGAAAUUCGUAGAUAUCAGGAGGAACACCGGUGGCGAAGGCGACUUUCUGGCCCUAUACUGACGCUGAGACGCGAGAGCGUGGGUAGCAAACAGGAUUAGAUACCCUGGUAGUCCACGCUGUAAACGAUGUUCACUAGGUGUUGGGGGUAUUGACCCUCUCAGUGCCGCAGCUAACGCAUUAAGUGAACCGCCUGGGGAGUACGGUCGCAAGAUUAAAACUCAAAGGAAUUGACGG
rnacentral:rRNA from 1 species